rfam:Triticum aestivum genome assembly, contig: Triticum_aestivum_CS42_TGACv1_scaffold_146726_2BS
UGCAUCCUGUGAUGCAAACAAUCCCAUUUCCUGAAUCACUGUGAUUAUUAUAAACAAGAUCAUCAUCUUUCGUUUGAGAUUGCG